rnacentral:rRNA from 1 species
AAAGGAUGUGCGAUGGCUUAGACAACCGGGAUGUUGGCUUAGAGGCAGCCACCAUUUAAAGAGUGCGUAACAGCUCACCGGUCGAUGUCGUCGCGCGCCUACAAUGAUCGGGACUAAACUUGUUACCGACGCCGCGGAUUCUGCACCGCAAGGUGCAGAGUGGUAGGGGAGCGUACUGCAGUAGGAUGAAGGCGGACCGCAAGGACCGCUGGACGAGGCAGUAGUGAGGAUCCUGGUAUGAGUAGCGAAAAUGCCGAUGAGAAUUCGGCACGCCGAAAACCUAAGGGUUCCUGGGGAAGGUUCGUCCGCCCAGGGUUAGGCGAUCCUAAGCUGAGGCCGAAAGGCGUAGGCGAUGGACAGCUGGUUAAUAUUCCAGCCCUUCCUGGCGACGCGCUUGAGUGGCAACGGUAACGCAGGGAGCUAGGUCAUCCCGGGUGUUGGACGUCCCGGGCCAACCCCGUAGUCCGCAAGGAUGAGAGGGGAUGGGGAGCUGCGGGGAAACCCAAAGUAAACGGACUGACGCUGCACUGCCAAGAAAACCCGUUGUCGCGAGGUGUCGUCGGGAAUUCGUACCGCAAUCCGACACAGGUAGGUAAGCAGAACAUGCUAAGGCGCUCGAGAUAACUCUCGCUAAGGAACUCGGCAAAAUGGCCCCGUAACUUCGGAAUAAGGGGUGGUUCAGUGACUGAAGUGGUUUACCCAUGGAGGUUGCUGGACUCACAGUAAAGAGAGCUCUGUGACUGUUUAGUAAAAACCCAUCUCUCUGCUAAGUCGUCAAGACGACGUAUAGGGAGUGACACCUGCCCGGUGCUGGAAGGUUAACGGGAUGCGUCAUGGAAUCGCAAGAUUCCGGAAGCGUUGAACCGAAGCCCCAGUAAACGGCGGCCGUAACUAUAACGGUCCUAAGGUAGCGAAAUUCCUUGUCGGGUAAGUUCCGACCCGCACGAAUGGUGUAACUAUAGAGCUGCUGUCUCAGCGAGAGACUCGGCGAAAUUGUAGUGGCGGUGAAGAUGCCGUCUACCCGCGAGUAGACGAAAAGACCCCAGAACCUUGACUGUACCCUGGUCUGGGAUGUUGGUCCGGCCUGCGUAGCAUAGGUGGGAGACUUUGAGGCAGUGCUCUCGGGCGCUGCGGAGUCGUCAGUGAAAUACCACCCUGAUCGUACGAACGUUCUAACCUGCCCCGUGGAGGGGUGGGGACAGGGCCAGGCGGGUAGUUUGACUGGGGCGGUUUCCUCCCAAAGGAUAACGGAGGAGCACCAAGGUUCCCUCAACGCGGUUGGCAAUCGCGUGUCGAGUGUAAGGGCACAAGGGAGCUUGACUGCGAGUCCGACAGGACGAGCAGGGACGAAAGUCGGUCCUAGUGAUCCGGCGGUGGCUUGUGGGAGCGCCGUCGCUCAUCGAAUAAUAGGUACUCUGGGGAUAACAGGCUUAUCGGGCCCGAGAGUUCACAUCGACGGCCCGGUUUGGCACCUCGAUGUCGGCUCAUCGCAUCCUGGGGGUGGAGAAGCUCCCAAGGGUCCGGCUGUUCGCCGGUUAAAG